GGUGAGCUCACAGGUUGCUUUAGUUCCUUCUUGUUUGUGCCCCAACAGGACAAGACUUCAGGAAAGCAGACUUGCACCCACCUGCCAGCUCUAACGCCCCUUCCCCCAGCAUGGAUCACAGGAUGUUUCCAUGCAUUUGGCAUUCAUAAUGACCAGAUGGAGAGGUGCCCCAGGCCCCAGGAGAAUUCGAAGAUAUGAGCAAGACAACAGGCACAGCAGCUUGUCACAAGUUUCCAUGGAACAGGAGGGCCAUUGAUUCCCUUGUUUAAAUCUCUCUGGGGAUGUCACACUGG
rnacentral:lncRNA from 1 species